rnacentral:rRNA from 12 species
GACCCGUCUUGAAACACGGACCAAGGAGUCUAGGCAGUAUGCAAGCUUGGGGGUGACAAACUCUGAGCACAAUGAAGCUGGAGUCCCGGAAAUGGCAGGGGUGUUCAACCAAGCAACAGGACAAGGUUUGAGUCUGAGCACACUUGUUAGGACCCGAAAGAUGGUGAACUAUGCCUGAAAAGGGCCAAGCCAGGGGAAACUCUGGUGGAGGCUUGCAGCGGUACUGACGUGCAAAUCGUUCGUCACACUUGGGUAUAGGGGCGAAAGACUAAUCGAACC